GCCAGAGCCAUAUCUCUCUGCAGUUCUCACCUGGUUUCCCAUGAAGCUGAGCAGAGUUCAGGCUGGCCAGUACCUGGAUGGGAGACCUCCUAGGGAAAACUAAGGUUACUGAUGGCA
rnacentral:rRNA from 1 species